GAUGAACGCUGGCGGCGUGCCUAAUACAUGCAAGUCGAGCGAACGGACGAGAAGCUUGCUUUUCUGAUGUUAGCGGCGGACGGGUGAGUAACACGUGGAUAACCUACCUAUAAGACUGGGAUAACUUCGGGAAGCCGGAGCUAAUACCGGAUAAUAUUUUGAACCGCAUGGUUCAAAAGUGAAAGACGGUCUUGCUGUCACUUAUAGAUGGAUCCGCGCUGCAUCAGCUAGUUGGUAAGGUAACGGCUUACCAAGGCAACGAUGCAUAGCCGACCUGAGAGGGUGAUCGGCCACACUGGAACUGAGACACGGUCCAGACUCCUACGGGAGGCAGCAGUAGGGAAUCUUCCGCAAUGGGCGAAAGCCUGACGGAGCAACGCCGCGUGAGUGAUGAAGGUCUUCGGAUCGUAAAACUCUGUUAUUAGGGAAGAACAUAUGUGUAAGUAACUGUGCACAUCUUGACGGUACCUAAUCAGAAAGCCACGGCUAACUACGUG
rnacentral:rRNA from 1 species